AGAGUCGGCCGGGCAGUCGCUGCCUCCGCCAGCGAUGGCGGGAGCGGAGGAAAGUCCGGGCUCCGGCGGAUCGGGUGCCAGGUAACGCCUGGGGGGCGUGAGCCCACGGAAAGUGCAACAGAGAGCAGACCGCCCAAGUCCCUCGCGGGACCGGCAAGGGUGAAACGGUGCGGUAAGAGCGCACCGCGUCGGUGGCAACACGCGACGGCACGGUAAACCCCACCUGGAGCAAGGCCAAAUAGGGAAGCCGCGCCGGUCCUUUAAAAGGGGCCGGCGCAGCGCUGAUCCGCGCGCGCUUCCGGGUAGGCCGCUAGAGGUCCACGGUGACGGGGACCCCAGAGGAAUGACCGCCCUCGACAGAACCCGGCUUACAGGCCGACUCUCACU
rfam:Gammaproteobacteria bacterium 13_2_20CM_66_19 13_2_20cm_scaffold_174, whole genome shotgun sequence.